GGGAAUGUAGCUUAGUGGUAGAGAGUUUACCUAGCAUGCAUGAAGCCCUAGGUUCAAUUCCUCAUUGCCA
rnacentral:tRNA from 1 species